rnacentral:Y_RNA from 1 species
GGCUGGUCCGAGUGCACUUGUUGUUUAUAAAUAAAUUAAUCACAACCAGUUACAGAUCUCUUUGUUCCUUCUCCAUUCCCAUUGCUUCACUUGACUAGCUUUUA